GUACGUGCUUUUAUUUCGCCGAAAACCAAACUGGGACGAAGAAAGAAGAGAGUUACUUUCUACGAACCACUCAAGGCGAUUUUUAACUAAAUGUUCAAUUAUUUUUAAAAGGACUGAUGAAAGAGCUAUGGGGCGAUAUGAGGAUGGGAGGAGAGGAUCCUUGUUUGUUUUUAAUAUAGGGAUAAUAAGUUGACAUUUCCAUUCUAAUGGGAUAUUGCCAGACUGAAAAAUAGUGUUUAUUAUUUUUAGGUAUAUUGUCAAACUAUUGUCAUUAAGAUGGGAAAUAAAUGAGUAAUAUAUACCAUCAGGUCCAGGGGCAGAGUCUGAGACAUAAGAUAAUACAUUUUUUAAUUCCGUUUUGCUAAAGGAAGAAUUUAAUCCUGGAGAUUCGUCAUGUUCGUCUGCUAUGCUAUUUUUGUCUAAUAGGUUAAUAUUUAUGUUAACUGUUGGAGGAGCAAGUUUAUCUAGAAAAUCAUUUGCUAUACUGCUGGGGAGUGAUACAGAAUGGGUUGUAUUAUAUGCUGACUUGAAUCUUCUUAUCUUUUUCCAUACAUCUGAUGGAGGAGUAUGAGGAGAUAAGGAGGAGCAGAAAUUUCUCCAACCAUCACAUUUUUUUCUUUUGAAAACCUGUUUUCUUUUUUUUAUAGCUUCCGUACAAUCUUUAUCCCACCAAGGUGGACUAGGAAUAUGAGAAGGUUCAUUUUUCACUGGGAAGAUUUCAUUAGCACUUUCAAUCAAGACAUCCGUGAAAACAGGAGCAUCAAUAAGUGCAUCAUUAGACAAUAAUUGUAGCAAUUUUGUAUCUACUUUAUUACUAAAUUGCUCCCAUGUUUCUGAUGUAACAUUAUUAAGAUUAUAUCUAGGGAGCAGUUUUA